rnacentral:rRNA from 1 species
UACGGAUGGGGCGAGCGCUACUCGGAUUCACUGGGCGUAAAGCGAGUGUAGGCGGCUUUGUAAGUCAGUGGUGAAAGCCCUCGGCUCAACCGGGGAACUGCCAUUGAUACUGCAGAGCUAGAGGGCAGGAGAGGAAAGUGGAAUUCCCGGUGUAGCGGUGGAAUGCGUAGAUAUCGGGAGGAACACCAGAGGCGAAGGCGGCUUUCUGGACUGUACCUGACGCUGAGAUUCGAAAGCCAGGGGAGCAAACAGGAUUAGAUACCCUGGUAGUCCUGGCUGUAAACGAUGGAUACUGGAUCUUGCACAGGUGUGCUUGGUCGAAGCUAACGCGUUAAGUAUCCCGCCUGGGGAGUACGGUCGCAAGGCUGAA